rnacentral:rRNA from 1 species
UUACGGGAGGCAGCAGUGGGGAAUCUUGCGCAAUGGGCGAAAGCCUGACGCAGCGACGCCGCGUGGGUGACGAAGGCCUUCGGGUCGUAAAGCCCUGUGGGGAGGGACGAACAAGCAGCAAUGCCCUGACGGUACCUCCUUAGCAAGCACCGGCCAACUCCGUGCCAGCAGCCGCGGUAAGACGGAGGGUGCAAACGUUGUUCGGAAUUACUGGGCGUAAAGCGCGUGUAGGCGGUCCGAAAAGUCGGGUGUGAAAUCCCUCGGCUUAACCGAGUGAAUUGCACUCGAUACUGCCGGACUGGAGUUCGGGAGAGGGACGUGGAAUUCCCGGUGUAGAGGUGAAAUUCGUAGAUAUCGGGAGGAACACCGGUGGCGAAGGCGGCGUCCUGGACCGAUACUGACGCUGAGACGCGAAAGCGUGGGGAGCAAACAGGAUUAGAUACCCUGGUAGU